rnacentral:misc_RNA from 1 species
UUUCCGUAGGUGAACCUGCGGAAGGAUCAUUAUUGGAUUUUGAAACUUCAGGCUGCUGCUGGCUCUCCUCGGAGGGCGCGUGCACGCUUGUUGUCCAUUAUUUCUCCCACUGUGCACAAAUUGUAGACCUUUCAGUAGGCCUAUGUUGUUUUUCACAAUCUCUGAAUGUAAUAGAAUGGUUUUGAAUCUUGGGAAAUACAAUACAACUUUCAGCAACGGAUCUCUUGGCUCUC